UGCUCCUGUAUUUACAAUAACUAGAAGACUCAGAAAAAGAGCUCAGCUGAGUGUGCGUCAGAGCGUUGUUUCCCUCAGUCAGUCCAAGGCUGGCCGAGUGACACCAGCUUUAAAUCACCAGCCCUUCGCACAGCUGACCUGUGGGUGCCACCAGCCACCGUGCUUCUUAUGGAAAGGAGAGCUGUGAAAGCUACAGUGGAUAUCCAAAUACUGCAUAGGAAAGGUGGUUCCUCCACUUCCAUUCUGGUUCCAGGUCUCACCAGUUUUCCAUUCUUGAGGGGUUAAAAGACAUCGCUACGAAGUCCUAGCUGAGUGCUUGCCGGGCACGAACAGCACUAGGUACCCCAGUCAAUAGAGGGUCGGCGCUUGGUGGCACUGGACUCUGAGCAUUCACUAAGAACAUUGUUUGAUUCUUUUUCAUUUUAAUUGCUGCUAUGGCUGUGGAUAUAAGUUGCUACACACAAAAGGGUGACAAAUAAUGAUGAAAGACACCAGAGUGCUCUCAUGUGUGGCUUCGUCAGGAAGGAGAAAAGAGAUUAUUGCAGCUGAGCUGAUCACAUGGAAUUCGCGGGCCCUUCCUCACUACCCCGUUCCCCACCCCCAGUCACUCCCUGUCUCUACUGAAAUGCCAUUCUUAAGGCCCAUGAAUGAUCUAGUUGAAUGACACACAAAAAUUGAUCCUAUUAACAAUGAUCUUUAGAAUGUUUAAGGACAUAACGCCACUUUUGUGAGGUUUCCACGUAAGUAUUCUCUAACCCUUAAAGGAGCACAUUGUCAUUUUCUUCUUAGGAAACUGUUGCCUCAAGACAGAGCUUCCCUUGGGAUGUGGGGGACCACAAGAUGCACACGCCAUCAGUUAAAACAAUACUCCACAGGCCUUCAGCAACAGAGAUGUCACUUGUAUGUUUUAAUUCUUUAAACAUUCUUUAAUUCUUGGUAAAUGUGUUAAACGUUUCAACACCGAUGCUAAGAAAAGUGUCAGAAGAUAUAGUAGGUAAGAUUAUUUUAUGACCCACAAGAUUUUCAACUCUUCUUUUGUUUGAAAAGGCAAAACUAAAGCUUGCUUUUACCCCUCCACAGAGGAUUAGUGCUCUUGAGGGAAAGAAUAAGUCUGUGUCCCACAUUAUUAAACACUUCUGGGAGAAAGUCUGGAUCUCCUAUCUUACUUUUGGUAGUAAGGAAGCUUUUAUGUUCCGCACUGGGGUGACCCUGCCUCGUCCUUCCAGGAUAGAAGUCACCCCGUACCUUGCAACCCCACUUUCCCCUUCUUGGGGGUGACCUCUACCCCUUCAAAUGCUCCGUCCAAGUUACUUGCAGCCUGCACCCUUCCUGAGCCCCUGGUUCUUCCUGAGCUCCCAGCUCUUUAGACCUAGCACCUGAUGUCUGUCCCUUAAUAUUUGGCACAGAGUUUCCCUGAUAGCUCUCUUAUCUAAGCCUUUGAAAGGAUCCCCUGAACGAGUGUCACCAGUACUAGGAAAAACUCUGUAUAUGAAUAGGCGAACAUCUCAGCAAAGAAGUGCCAGCUGUGUCGUACUCUUUUCUGGCUUUUCAAAUCAAAAUCAAUCUCUCCUUCCCUCACUCCUUUCCUUUUCCCACCACCAAGCCUAAUCAAUCCACUCCUCAUAGGUAUUUUCAUGGCGGCCCAAUACACUAAAAUUUCAGCUUUAUUAUCAUAAUAUGCUGCCAUCAGCACAGAACCCAGGGACAAUUUGCUGAUGGUGAAGGUAAAGGUUAUGGCUUGAGCUUCUCUCAACAAAUCCUUUGUGGCUCUCACCAACAGUGACAAAUCUACACUGGAAGAAGACAUGUAUAAUUAGGUCUUUGACACACUUGUUCACAAGUGAAGAAUGGCUGUCUUUCCACACUAGAACUUGCUUAUUUCCAUCAGAGCCAAGACUCAGAGAAAUAUUUUUCUUGCUUAAAGUCUACUGACCUGUGAACCCUGCUUAUCCUGUGUUAGCUUUUUAAUUUUUUUUUUCAAAAUAAAGGCAAAAGGUUUGUUUACAAUAGGAGCAGCCUCCCUCUACCCCUGCAAGCUAAAUUUUUAGAAUGGGAAAAACAAUGGGCCUUAACCAUCUUCUUUAACCCCAGAAUCCCUUUGUGUAGCAUCGUAGCUUUCUAUUGAUGGUUCCAAGAUGGUUCCAACCCUUUCCAAGAGUGAGAAAGGGUUCACAACUGUGCAUCAAUGGUGUCCCCACUGUCAGGCAAGAUGAGGUUUAUCAAGCUAAAGAUUACAAGAAUGAAAGAGAGAAGGAAAAGAAGGAUGGAAAAGGAAGGAAGGAGGAAAGAAAGAAAGAAUAAGGAGAGGGGGAUAAUGAAGAUGAUUCUACUUAGAACUGGUGGACGCUCUGAGGCCUCAGUCAACACCUUCCCUCAUCCCCAGCUCCUCCAAAGGACAUAAAUGCCUUCCAUAUCCCUUAUUUAUCCCCAGUGACAAUAGUCCAAGAUGUCUAUUUUCAAGUUUUAGUCAUCUACUGCAAAUGAUAUUUUAUAUGUAAAAAGCACACACAUAUGCUA